UGUAGAGACAAAGAGAUAGCAAGAGAGUCAUCAUCUUAUUCAUUGAUAGAAGCUCUUUAUAUAGGGAAUUACACAAUACCAAUAUGGUAAGGAUAUGAAUAUAUAGAUCUAGUCUAACUACAUAUCCUAUUGGCAUAAGGCCAAGACACACAUAGAGAAUAUCCUAGAACACUCCCCCUUGUGCCGCGCGCUGAUAUGCCGAUGGUGCUGAUCUGUUGCCUCGUCAAAAACCUCGUCAAGUCACAAAAACCCUGUGGGAGAAAAACUGAACCUUGAUCGUAGGAGAAAAAAAGUACAACGCACCAUUCACAUUUGAUAGUGACAUGUAUGUAUGUGCUAGACUUCCCCUGAAGUUCGCACCCCCCUGAUCUUUACAUCAAUCAUAGGGCUCUUCCUGAUUCUUACUAAUCACGGAAGUUUCAACAACUUAGCAUGUCAAUGCUUUUUAACAUAUCUUCAAAUGUGGCAUUGGGCAAUGAUUAACUAAAUCAUGCCGUAUUGUCCUCAAAUGAUCUUUUACACUUAGAUCUUGAGGAGAAGGUCGCUUGUGAACUCAAAACAUAAGUUCGUGCAGGAAAUUAGAUUUCCGCUCAACAUGACCUUCAAUUACUAGAACAGUCGUAACUUCCUCUAGGAAAUACAUAUGAACGAACCGUAAACGAUUUUGGAAACUAGACUCAUUUAGCUUUCCAACCGUAUAUUACACACAUUCUGGUUCAUCAGGAGCUGUUCACAAAGUCCCAUCGAAGUUGACUGUUUUGCCAAAAUCAGAUUCUCGGACAGAUUCGUCUUACUUUACGAAAACGGCCAUAACUCAUUCAAUAUGAUAGGUAUGAUCAAAUGGUUGGUGUCU
rnacentral:lncRNA from 1 species